CUGGCUGAGCUCAAAAGGCAGCUGCCCGUUGAGCAGCACUACUCUCUCCAAAAGUUUUAUCCUUCAUUUAAUCAACAGAUGGACGAGCUGCGUGGGUUUGGGCUUGGUUGGUGGGCAAAUCCAAGCCCUCCCCUCGCCCAAGCUGGCUUCGGGACCAGGGCGGUGUGACACACAGAUGGCAUUUGAGAGCAGCAGCAGCCAGACGAAGCUUGAGGCUGCCUCUCUAAGCUCGGCGUCCUCCACAGGCGGGCAGAGAAGCAGGCAGCAAAGUUACACGGCGAAUUCCUCCAGAUUCCCACCCGAAUCCCAUGCUGUCAGGAGAUGGGAGCCGGCUGUGACACCCCCCCCAAACACCAUCACCGGGGCUCCCCCACCUCCCCUUCGGCUGGCUGCAUCCAAACCAACUCUUCUCCCCGCCACCACAACCACCCCUUUCCAGGAGCAAAUCGCUCUGCAAGAAGGGGGGAGGAUGGAACCAUCCUCUGCUGCCAGCCAAAGCGGCUCCUUCCCUCCCCACCGCGAGCAACCAUCCCUCGGUACGGGCGCAAGAGCCGGGCGGCGAUGGGGGGGCUGGGAGGGGGCUGCUGCUGAGCAAAGCCGGUGUUUACACACAAACGCGAUCUAAUUAACGGAGCUGGAGCUGAAAGAACUCAUUUGCAUGCUGAAGAUUUUUCUCCUGCCUCCCCCCCUUCUCCUCUUUUUUCAUGCAAGAAGAAAAGCCACCGAGCGAGCUGCCUCGCCGAGGAUGCCUGAGAAACUCUGCAAUCCUCCUUCUUCUCCUUCUCCCCCCCUCACACCACACAACAUUGCUGAAUCUUCGCGCAAACAGCAAAAAGCAGACGCGGACCCCCCCACACACAAAACACCCCCUCCCCCGCCCGCAUCUCCAUCCGACAGCAAGAAAACUAAGUGCAGGCUGCGGGUCCUACCUUGG